rnacentral:rRNA from 1 species
CCUACGGGGUGCAGCAGUGGGGAAUAUUGCACAAUGGGGGAAACCCUGAUGCAGCGACGCCGCGUGAGUGAAGAAGUAAUUCGUUAUGUAAAGCUCUAUCAGCAGGGAAGAAAAUGACGGUACCUGAGUAAGAAGCCCCGGCUAACUACGUGCCAGCAGCCGCGGUAAGACGUAGGGGGCAAGCGUUAUCCGGAUUUACGGGGUGUAAAGGGAGCGUAGACGGCAGUGCAAGUCUGGAGUGAAAGGCGGGGGCUCAACCCCCGGACUGCUCUGGAAACUGUACGGCUGGAGUGCAGGAGAGGUAAGUGGAAUUCCUAGUGUAGCGGUGAAAUGCGUAGAUAUUAGGAGGAACACCAGUGGCGAAGGCGGCUUACUGGACUGUAACUGACGUUGAGGCUCGAAAGCGUGGGGAGCAAACAGGAUUAGAUACCCCGGUAGUC